rnacentral:rRNA from 1 species
GGCUCUUUGAUUAAUAUAUAUAAAGAGUCGAGCCUGCCCAGUGAUAUAUUUAACGGCCGCGGUACUCUGACCGUGCAAAGGUAGCAUAAUCAUUUGCCUUAUAAUUGAAGGCUAGUAUGAAUGGUUUGACAAAAACAAAGCUGUCUCUUUUUAAUUUUUUAGAACUUGAUUUUUAGGUGAAGAAGCCUAAAUAUAAUUGAAAGACAAGAAGACCCUAUCGAGCUUUAAAAAAUUUUGUUAAGAUAAAAUAGCUGUAUAAAACUAAUUAUAACAAAAAAUUUUAGUUGGGGCGACUAAGGAACAAAAAAGCUUCCAAUUCUAUAUUUAUAACAUAUUGGUUUUGAUCCAAAACCUUUGAUUAAAAGAAUUAGUUACCGUAGGGAUAACAGCAUAAUCUUUUUUGAGAGCUCUUAUCGAAAAAAAGGUUUGUGACCUCGAUGUUGGACUAGAAUAUCCUAAAUGGCGCAGAAGUCUUUAAAGGUUGGUCUGUUCGACCACUAAUAUUCUACGUGAUCUGAGUUCAGACCGG